UACGGAGGGUGCAAGCGUUAUCCGGAUUCACUGGGCUUAAAGGGCGCGUAGGUGGUUUGGUAAGUCAGUGGUGAAAUCCCCGAGCUUAACUUGGGAACUGCCAUUGAUACUAUUAAUCUUGAAUACUGUAGAGGUUAGCGGAAUAUGUCAUGUAGCGGUGAAAUGCUUAGAUAUGACAUAGAACACCAAUUGCGAAGGCAGCUAGCUACACAAAUAUUGACACUGAGGCACGAAAGCGUGGGGAGCAAACAGG
rnacentral:rRNA from 1 species